UACGAAUGGGGCAAGCGGUGUUCGGAAUCACUGGGCUUAAAGCGUGCGUAGGCGGAUUUGCAAGUCAGAAGUGAAAGCCCGGGGCUUAACCCCGGAACUGCUUUUGAAACUGCAAAUCUAGAAACCGGGAGAGGUUAGGAGAAUUCCUAGUGUAGAAGUGAAAUUCGCAGAUAUUAGGAGGAAUACCAGUGGCGUAGGCGCCUAACUGGACCUGCAUUGACGCUGAGGCACGAAAGCGUUGGUAGCAAACAGG
rnacentral:rRNA from 1 species